rnacentral:rRNA from 1 species
AUGCGAGAGGGAGAAGUAUAUAGACGCUACUACACACCCUAUCUCCACCCUAAGCGAGGCACCCUUGUCGGAGAUGCAGUCUACUUCACGGUUCGGCUGGGUAACGCAAUCAUCAAGUAUGACUUGGGCAAGAACAGCAUAUCCAUGAUUGACCCGCCGCCGCACACCAUGUACUACAUUGCCCUCAUGGCCAUGGAGGAGAAACAUUCACUUGGCUUUGCCUACAUUAUGGAUUCCAGCCUCGAUAUCUGGUCAAGGAAGGUGGAUAGGGAAGGACCUGCUGAAUGGGUACAAUACAGGGUCAUCGAACUGGAGAAAACGAUACCUGUUGCCAAACAAGAUGAGAAGCCAAUUGUUGUUGGGUCUGCAGAGGGUGUGGGUGUCAUCUUCGUAUGCACAGGUGCUGGCUUAUUUAUGAUCAAGCUCAGCUCUGGGCAGGUUAAGAAGGUUGAUGAGCCUGGGGUCUACUUUAGCGUCCUACCCUACUUGAGCUUCUACACUCCAGAUCAUGGCAGAAUGUUGUCAAUCGCUGGCGAGGACAAACUGAUCUCUUAA